rnacentral:tRNA from 1 species
GCCGGAGUGGCGAAAUGGCAGACGCUGGGGUCUUAAAAACCCUUGGGGGCAACUCCGUGCGGGUUCGAGUCCCGCCUCCGGCA